UUACAGUUUCUAUAUUUAAUAGGUACAUUAAAGAUACGACAUUGAAGAUAUUCUGUUUUGAUUAAUAGAAGAUAUUGGAUUUUGAGUUUGUAUUUAUUGAUUUGUUUUUUUAUAAAGCUUAGAAAAUCAAUGGGAUGAUUGGUUGGUUGAUACAUCCUAUAAAGAAAACGAAAACUAUAGGUGGUUUGAAUAUUGUACAUCGAUCGAUGCAUGAUGUAAGUUGACUAUAUAAAACUUGAGCAUGAUCAUUUCAAACUAAAGUAUAGGUAGGUUAUAUGCAUUUG
rnacentral:lncRNA from 1 species